rnacentral:misc_RNA from 1 species
AAGACACUUGCAGAACAGAUGAGAUUAUCCAAUAUCAAUGACUAAUACUCCCUCAGUUUCAAUUUGUUUGCUUUUUAGUCCGUUAAAAAGGAACUCUCUAUUUCAAUUUCCCCCACGACAUGUUUAAGAUCGCAAAAUUAAAGGACAUCAUACGUAUCUUUAGUUUAGGAUCACAAGAUUCAAGGACAUUUUGAUACAUUCUACAUAUCUUUACUUUGAAACCAGAAGAUUCAAAAGUUUUCUUUACUUCUUUAACUCUGUGUCAAGUCAAAACCAG